rnacentral:miRNA from 1 species
UAUCUUGGCACUAUCUCUAAC